AGCCACACAGGAAACUGAGCAGAUCAGGGGCCCAGCCCCAAGCAAACACAGGCUCCCCCAGCCCCAGAAGCACUAGGGGAAAGGGCCCAGCUGGGCCAGCCCUGCAGAGACCAUGGGAUCCACAGAGACAAGGCAUCCCCCUGCCAUGUUUGACUGGUUCUUUGAAGCUGGCUGCCCCAACUCCCUGGAAGAGGAUCCCCCCAUCCUGCGGCAGUUCCCUCCAGACUUCCAGGAGCAGGAAGCCAUGCAGAUGGUGCCCAGGUUCUGUUUCCCCUUCGACAUAGAAAGGGAGCCACCCAGCCCUGCUGUUCAGCAUUUCACCUUUGCCCUCACUGACCUGGUGGGCAACCGUAGAUUUGGCUUCUGCCGCCUGCGAGCUGGUGCACGGAGUUGUCUCUGUAUCCUCAGCCACUUUCCCUGGUUUGAAGUGUUCUACAAGAUUCUCAAUAACGUGGGGGACCUUCUAGCCCAGAACCAAGUCGCCGAGGCUGAAGAACUCCUACAAAACCUACAGCAACACCCACUUCUUGGACCCCGGUUUUCAGGAAGAUCAGAGAUGGACAGCAGCAUCACUGUCCGGAGUGAAUGUGGAAUCUUGCCUCCUGCCCUGGGGAAUAGCAAGCUGCUUUCUUGUUUUGUGGCUCCGGAUGCCGCCAGCCUGCCAUCUAUUCCUGAGAAUAGGAACCUCACUGAGCUGGUGGUCGCUGUGACAGAUGAGAACAUCGUGGGGCUCUUCGCAGCGCUGCUAGCUGAGAGGAGGGUCUUGCUCACUGCCAGCAAGCUCAGCACUCUGACAGCCUGUGUUCACGCAUCCUGUGCCCUGCUCUACCCCAUGCGCUGGGAGCACGUUCUGAUCCCCACUCUACCCCCACACCUACUGGACUACUGCUGUCUGUGUCCUCUCCACAGUGCGCCCAUGCCCUACCUCAUAGGAGUCCAUGGCAGUCUCGCAGAGAGAGUCCGAGAAAAAGCGCUGGAAGAUGUUGUGGUGUUGAAUGCAGACUCUAACACCCUGGAGACACCCUUUGACGAUGUGCAAGCUCUGCCGCCGGAUGUGGUAUCCCUGCUGAGGCUUCGGCUAAGGAAGGUUGCCCUGAGCCCUGGGGAAGGGGUGUCCCGUCUCUUCCUCAAAGUGCAGGCCCUGCUCUUUGGAGGGUACCGUGAUGCCCUUGUCUGCAUCCCGGGUCAGCCAGUGACCUUCAGUGAGGAAGCUUUUUUGGCUCAGAAGCCCGGGGCACCCCUGCAGGCAUUCCACAAAAAGGCGGUACACUUGCAGCUGUUCAAGCAGGGAACAGCAGCAAGUACUUGAGUCCGACCUUCUCUCUCUACCCCAAGUUCAUCGAAUCCCGACUGGAAAAACUCAAUGCUGGGGAAGGCUUCUCAGACCAAUUUGAGCAAGAGAUCAUUGCCUGCCGCGGAGCUUCCUCAGGCACCCUUCGGUCUUACCAGCUCUGGGUAGAUAGUCUUAAGGUAAUAAAAGCAAUCCCUGUUCCUGUUUAUAACCAACUUCAUCACCUCACCAUUUACCACAGCCCCCGAGAAGGGGCUUGGUUAAAACUGGAGGCACAGAGAGGAAGGAGGCUGCCCAGCAGAAGGCAACCUGAGGUGGGAAGUAAGGUGUGGAGUCCGGACCUGGCAACCUCAGGGGCCCAAGUUUCUCUUAUUUGGUGUCUUUUCACGCAACCCCUUACAGAAAGGUAGCGAUGCCCUUCUGCAUUCAAUGAAGACAAAAACCCAACCAGCUGUCAGGAACAUGUACCGAUCGGCAAAGAGUGGCUUGAAGGGUAUGCAGAACCUGCUCACGAUUAAGGAUGGAGACUCUGGCCUGCAGAGGGGGGGCUCCCUGAGAACCCCAAGCCUCACCAGCCGCUCUGAUCGUCUGCAACAGCGCCUGCCUAUUAGCCAGCACUUUGGACAGAACAGGCCCCUCCGCCCCAGCAGGAGACUCAAGACUGAAGAGGGACCUUCCGAACCCCUGCGGGAGAGGUAAGAAUUGAAGCAGAUCAAAGUUGAGAGGUGCAAGGAUCACAACUGAUGAGGGGUGUCUUCUAGACUCCGGAGACAAAGCCCAGGAUGUCAAUCCUCAAUCCAGGAGCCCCACCUUGAGCCCUGGGGACACUCAGAACCCCUGGGCAGAAGAUACUCUAGAUGGCAGCUUUCUGGGGUCUGGAGAAGAGCUGGAUCUACUGAGUGAGAUUCUAGACAGCCUGAACGUGGAAACCAAGAGUGGCGACCUGCAGAGGGCCAGCCAGAGCUUAGACUGCUGUCAGCGAGGGGCGGCGUCAGAGAGCUGCUCCAGCCUGCCUGACAUCCCAGUGGGGUUACCAUGGCAACUGGAAGAAGACAAGAGAUCCCAGGAUCCUCAGCCUUGGUCCCUACCUGGUGACCUGUCACUUCUGCAAGACACCCCAUUUUCAGAGGUUGUAAGCUACUCAAAGAACUCCUGUUCUCAGCCAUUUCAGCAGAGCCCCCCAAGCCAAGGGGACCCCGGGCCCUCUCUCAGCAAGCUGGAUCCUAGACCCUCACAAAGCCCCUGCCCCAAGCUCCUCAGAGUCCCCACUAGGCACAGUCCUCCAGAAAGCCCCCAGCUUCUUGUCUCCACAGAGCCCAACUCUGAUGCUGUCCAAAGAUUACAAUCCAUUUCGUCUCCCUCAUGCUCUCAUUCUGCAGAGAACCCCAGAAACCAGCCUCCCCAGGUCCUCCUGGGCCAGGCUUGUGUACAACCCCUCGAGGAGCUGGGAGCCCCCACUUAUGUCUCUCAUGUAAGCACGCAGCAAAGGCCACAGGACAAGCAACCUCGAGUUGCUGAUCUGAAGAAGUGUUUCGAAAACUAAGAUAAGGAGUGUGAGGGGUUCCCAACUCUCAAUAAAGCUGAAUUUCUUUUCCUUGAUAAA